rnacentral:misc_RNA from 2 species
UCGUACAACCGAGGCGCAAAGGCUGUCGCUGACCCUCAAAGGUCGUGCACGCCCGAGCGCUCUCACACAAUCCAUCUCACCUUUGUGCAUCACCGCGUGGGUCCUUCCUCCCCUUUGCGGGGGGAGGGCUUGCGUUUUCACAUAAAACUCGAUACAGUGUAGAAUGUUUCUUUUUUUGCGGUCACACGCAAUCAAUA